rnacentral:rRNA from 1 species
CCUACGGGAGGCAGCAGUGGGGAAUAUUGCACAAUGGGGGAAACCCUGAUGCAGCGACGCCGCGUGAGUGAAGAAGUAUUUCGGUAUGUAAAGCUCUAUCAGCAGGGAAGAAAAUGACGGUACCUGACUAAGAAGCCCCGGCUAACUACGUGCCAGCAGCCGCGGUAAUACGUAGGGGGCAAGCGUUAUCCGGAUUUACUGGGUGUAAAGGGAGCGUAGGUGGCAUGGUAAGCCAGAAGUGAAAACCCGGGGCUCAACCCCGCGGAUUGCUUUUGGAACUAUCAGGCUGGAGUGCUGGAGGGGUAAGCGGAAUUCCUAGUGUAGCGGUGAAAUGCGUAGAUAUUAGGAGGAACACCGGUGGCGAAGGCGGCUUACUGGACAGAAACUGACACUGAGGCUCGAAAGCGUGGGGAGCAAACAGGAUUAGAUACCCCAGUAGUC